rnacentral:lncRNA from 1 species
AGUUCAUUGCUAACGGUACCUGGUGUCUCCCUAAUCCUAUUUCUCCCGAAAUGUUAUCACUUUGGCCGACUAUUAUAGCUAUUCCAAUCAGGAACAACUCUUCAGAUAUACUUAUUUGGCCUCAUGACAAUGGCAAAUUUAGUGCCACAUCCGCAUGGAAUCAAAUUAGGCAAAGAAAUAACAAAUGGGUCCCAAGCAGUUGGACAUGGGAUCGACCGGGAUCACAAAGACAUUCCUUAUGUACAUGGCAGGCCCUUCUCAAUAAACUACCUACAAUAGACAAUAUGAAAAGAAGAGGUAUCUAUCAUGUUAACCGAUGCUCCCUUUGUUUGCAACAAGAAGAAACUGUUGACCACCUCUAUUUUGCUUGUGAUUAUACAAAAUGGAUAUGGAAGGAGAUUCUCGAGCGAUUUGAACUCAAUAGACUGCCGCAACCAAACUUGCACCAAGAACUAGGCGACCUCAUGUAAUGUUUCUCAAGAAAAGGACCUCUCACACAACUGGCAAAGGUUACUUUCAGAUGCGCUAUUUGGUGGAUGUGGAAGGAGAAAGAGAUUAUUAGAGACUCAUGAUCCUGUAUGGAGCAAGAUCUCAAAACGGAGCACUUUACCCGAAGAGAAAAAGAUAUUUUUAUCAAAUUUAAUUUUGCUAUUAGCUAAAGAUCUUGGGAAUUAUGCCAAAUAAUGUACCCACAGGUAGUUUUGAUAUAUCUGGAUAAACAUUUUCUAUGUUGACUAUAAUUAUGAGUUAUAGUCUACAGCAUGUGUAGUCAUAACUAUCGCAUUCGCACUCUAUGAGUUACUUGGCUUUGUCUAUGACUUGUAUAGAUAAAGCUAUUUGUAGAAACUUUACACAUAAUCAAUUUACUUUUACUUACCAAAAAAAAAAAAAAUUUUCUUGCAACGAUUACUACACCGAAAGAUGGACUUAUUGCUUACACUAUCAAAAAGUGGAGACCAUACUUAAUUGAUCAACGGGUUGUAAUGCGUUGCAGAUAGCCUAUGACUGAAGUGCUAAAAGAUAAGCUCCCCGAGAUUGAUGCUGCUCAGCCUUGAGGGCAAGGCCGAUUUGAAGAGGGAGGAACUAUUAGGACCCUUUUUCUAAGCUUUUGAAUAUUAUUUAUUGAGUCUGUUUAGUCCAUUUGUUUAUUGAGUCGGUUUGGUUCAAUUAGAGUCAAGUAGAGGUUUAUCUAAUAUUUUUUUUUUAUCAGUAGCAGAAAUAAACCAAGCAUUAAUAGAGUUAAGAUGCCAUAAGACUCAUAUUCUACCAAAAGUUUCAUUUGAGUCAUUGGUAAACAGUUCCGCGUCCGGCCAUAUUAAAUUCUUUUGAGCUUGAACGCGCGAUUGUUUAAUUUUCGUUUCCACUAGAAUAACAAUAUCACAUGCGGCAUACUUGAUUAUUCUAUUGAGCUCCCGACAUUUCUCAGGCUUAUUAAGUCCGCGAACAUUCCAGCAUGUUAUCUUCAUCAGUAAAAAACAAAUGAAAAGGUGGUAAGGUAUUCAUCCUACGACUUUGGAUGGACUGUACCAUCCUUUUUCUUAUCCUUCGGUUUUGUAUUUUCCUCCCGCACAAUAUCCUUACCUUUUAUGGCUUUAUUCCUAUAUUUAUCCACUUCAUCUAUAGCUUGUAGAUUUUUAAACUUUAAAAUACCUUGAAUCAUGUGGUCUUGAUUGGCAGGGUUUGUUGAAGCACAAUAACCUGGAUAGUACUUGUUGGAGCAGCCUGGCUAGAGAGGUCUGUUGGGGCAUGAGUUUGUUGAGACAGAAUAUCCUGACUAGAGAUCUAGGGCGACCACUGUAGCGGCGACCAGAUGUAGGGCGACCACUGUAGCAGCGACGACACUGUAGCGGUGACCAGAUCUAGGGCGACCACUGUAGCGGCGGCCAGAUCUCCCUAGGGCGAUCUGACUCCUGCAGCGUCAGCUUUCUCCCACGGGCGACGGGCGACAACACUGUAGCGGCGAUCUGAUUUCCUUCAGCGUCGGUUGUUUCCCAAGGGCGACGGUACUGUAGCGGCGACGACGACACUGUAGUAGGGAAUGGUACUGUAGCGACGAUGUCACUGUAGCGGCGACGAGAUCUCCCUAGGACGAUCUGACUCCUGCAGCGUUGGCUUUCGGGUGACGGUACUAUAGCAACGAUCUGAUCUCCCUUACUGUAGUGGUGAUCGGAUCUCCUGCAGCGUCGGCUUCUCCCCAAGGGCGAUGAAACUAUAGCGGCUACCAGAUCUCCCUAGGGCGACGGUACUGUAGCGAUGAUCUGAUAUACUGCGGUGGUGGCUUUUCCCUAUGGAGAUGAUUCUGUAGCGGCGACCAAAAGAGGGAUCAAACAUGGCAGCGAUGGAUCCUAGGGCUGGCGACAGCGGCGGGAGGGUUGAUACGAUGCAUCGAAGUAGGUUGCGCUCUAGAUUGCGGCAGCUUGCCCUCAUUUCCAGUGACCCUCGGCCUUGGACUAGCCUCUUCAAAGCUCUGGUUGGAAGUCAGGAUCUAAGCUUGGAAUUCUUUACUCCAGAAGUUCAGGCUGAUAAGAAGAUUGCUGUAUAUGAGACUGCUGAUUCAGCAGAGCUUAUUGAGACAUGGUCUAUGGUGAUUGUUGGCUAUGUGGUAGGGUCUCAAAACAUCUUAUUUUCCACUAUCCUCAUUUAUCAAAACUCGAUAGGGAAUAUCAUCAUUUGAUCUUCAUAUGCUGGAGAACGGAUUCUUUGUUUGCAAGCUAUACUCUGAAGAAGAUUUACAACGGGUCCUCGAAGGAUUCUGGACUAUUCGUGGCCAUCCAAUGAUUCUACGACGCUGGUCUCCUGAUGUCCGUUUGGAGUUAGAUAGCCUACAGUCUAUUCCAUUAUGGGUAUCCUUUCAAGGUCUUCCUCUGCAUCUUUGGAGUCGUGGUUUUAUUGCAAAGUUAUCCAGCACUUUGGGACAACCACUCUACGUCGACAAAGCAACAACAGCUCAGAUGAGAUUGGCAUUUGCACGAGCAUGUGUACUGGUUUCUUCUGACGAAGAUCUUCCAAAUAAGGUUUUCUAUCAUGAUCUUGACGGGAACACUCGGAAGGUAAAUGUCUCAUUUUCCUGGAAGCCACAACGAUGUCAACAUUGCUUAUCUUUUGGUCAUGCAAAUGGAGCUUGUCAGCAAACUCCAAAACCGAUCACAAAGGUCUAUCGACCACGUCAAGCGCCUCAGCAACAAAGCGAGUCUUCUCUUAUGGCAGUAGCACCGAUGGUGGCGAAGACUAUUGAGCAUACCGACUCGCAAGGACAGCACCGCGGACAGAAGGACAAAUCCAAAACUAUACCUCUUCCUAUAAUGUCUGAGCCUUCCACAACAUAAGUUUUCCAUGGUACUAGUGGACAGGAGAAGCAUAAGUCAGAAACAUCAUCUCUUCCAAUAUCUUCAGAUCCGUCCACAAUAGCUCAAUGAACUCAGGCCCAAACAAAUCUCGCCAACAAGGAUAUUCUUGUCACGCCCCUCAAAAUAUCCAUGAUAUUUAAAAUUUUCAUCACAACUAAUCCAGGAUCUAAACACACAUUUGAGGUCCCUAAGAAAACAUUCAGAUCAAAAAUUUCACCUCUAUAGUCUACAAAUUCAUAACCCUGUGCAGUUCAUAAACAUCCCACACAUCACUCAAUAAUUCAAACAAACUGAACUUAACUCAUCAAAAUAAUAACCACAACAUAAUUUCACAAGUGGGGAAGUCUAUGCAGUCACCAAACCAACGAUUACCAUAAGUUCGUAUCAUUACAUGAAUUUAACUUAACAUUCCAAAAUCCUAAACAUGAGGGAUCCUUUAACUUACACAAAAUCCACAUGUUUAGAUUCAUCGUCAACAUUUCAUUAGAUGCAGAGUGGCUUAUAUAACAAAUACAUAUAUGCUAACACAGAUCUGCCCAAAAUCUUCUAACUUUCCACUGCCUCAGCCCAAUCUUAACAUUUAAGCAAGCGAUACGCUAUCCUGAAAAAUUUAUCAACAAACGGGGUGAGCAUAUAGAGCUCAGCAAGUGACUAACAUAUCCAUAUCAAAAUAGGACAAUUUCCAAAGAGAUAAAGUUUCAUAAUACGAGGCAGAAUAUACGAAUUCGUAGACAUAAUAUCAUUAGGUGUAGAAUCACAAUUGUCCUUUCAAUCAUACAUAUUUGGUUCAUAACAUACGGGGCAUAGAGUAAUUGGAGCAUAUCAGAAACGAAUGAAACGUUUUGGAGCAUAACAAUAACAAAUGAAACAUAUCGGAGCUUAUCAAUGGCAUAUGAAAUGUUCCGGAGCAUAUCAACAGCGUAUGAAACAUUUCGAAGCAUAUCAACAAUGAAUGAAACAUUUCGGAGCUUAUCAAUAUCACAUACCGAACAGAAGCUCAAACGUCGUCUUUGACGUUGCAUUCAUAUCAUUCUUAUCCAAAGCAUGUACAAAAACACAUAACCAAAGCUCUGGAUAUCAUAUCAAACAUACAGAAGGUGUAGUGGGAUCUCAAACAGAAUUGUGAUUCAUCCAUUUUUGAAUGACCACCAGACAGAAGUCUCCCACGUCUGGGAGCUCCAUCCACCCACGUCUAGGUGAAGUCAGAGGGGGCCGGCAGAGCAUCGCAGGCUCUAAGCACAUACCCUUUACCAUUUCUGGCAAAGGUCCAGACAAUCCCACAAACACCAAAGUACAAGAGGGUAGUUUUAACAAUAAGUAGCAUAUAUCGGAAGCACACGCGGAACAACAAAACGUACAUGUGCCUUUUCGAGACAAUACGAAGCAAGGAACAAAUCUCUCACAAAUGUAUUCAGAUUUGGAAUGAAAUGAAAGCAAGAGUAUACAGGGAUUCCAAGCAAUCAUAUUUAGCUCAAUUCAAAUAAGAAGGUGAGAUGAAUUCAAUAUCCA